UACGAAGGGGGCUAGCGUUGCUCGGAAUCACUGGGCGUAAAGGGCGCGUAGGCGGCCAUUCAAGUCAGAGGUGAAAGCCCAAGGCUCAACCUUGGAACUGCCUUUGAUACUGUUUGGCUUGAGACCGGUAGAGGUAAGUGGAACUGCGAGUGUAGAGGUGAAAUUCGUAGAUAUUCGCAAGAACACCAGUGGCGAAGGCGGCUUACUGGACCGGUUCUGACGCUGAGGCGCGAAAGCGUGGGGGAGCAAACAGG
rnacentral:rRNA from 1 species